rnacentral:lncRNA from 1 species
AGAAAAUGAGCUCUCCUGGGAGAUGGAGGUGCAAAACGCUGCUGCUUCUGACAGCAGGGAGAAGUGGCACCUUCAGCUCUGGAAUACAACUGCUGCCAAACUCUCCAUAGAACGGUUCAAGACACAGCAGGUCAUGCAGGCUCAGGAGCAGGAAUGUCUCUGAUGGCUGACAAAUGGGGCCAGCAUCUGACUCUUCAGGGGAACUAAAAAAGCCUUGAGACAUCUAUUCAACUGAUUGUGCCAUGCUAUAUAAAAAUCAAGAUAUUCCUUCCUGAUACACUGUCACCUUGUUCCCUGACUCAGCCCCACAUCUCCAUCACACUUCUCUCUUGAUACAGCAGGCAAAGCAUUUUUAAGGUCCAGAACAACUCCAAGUGUCACUGAAGUCAUCCUGCAUGCCCUACACCCACCAUGCAAUGACUCCAGCCAAAACAGAUGCGUAUACUCAGCUCUGCUGGGCCCUGCUCAGCUCACCAGGGAUAGAACACACUGCUGAGGUCAACCUGCAAUUAUUUAAGGUGAAACCCUGCUCCUUUUUGGUAUAAUAACCAUCACAGCAGUCUGUGCAGCUGCCAUUAUUCC